rnacentral:snRNA from 1 species
UUGCUUCAGCAACACAUAUACUAAAAUUUGAACGACACAGAGAAGAUUAGCAUUGUCCCUGCACAAGGAUGACACUCAAAUUUCUGAACCAUUUUUGGAUUGG